CUCACUCUUAUUGCAAAAACUCCUUGCUAUCUGUCAGACUGUGCGUGAAACAUGGCCGCCAAUCACAUGGUUGAAAGAUCUCCAUCCUGAACGAUGUCCAGCUAUUGCUUUACCCCGUUGCCAGGGUAGAUUUCGGUUGACUUCUUUUAUUUCUUUAUUAAGGCUUCGCCGCCAUGAGCCUCUGGGUCUGCCUCUGCUGCGAUAUCCCACUGAGUUCCAGUCUAAUGCUUGUUUACAGAUUUCGUUUCCGCCCCUACGUGCUUGGAAAAUAUCGAUGCCCUGGACAUGGUCCUAAGCAGCUCCGACGAUAGCUUUUCUGAUUUAUUUCUUUUUGGGUCAUCACAGAAUUCUUACGAAUGACACCCGUCCAAGCACCCGUCGAUCAGCUUACAGAUUUGGUGACGCUUAUUUUCGGUUCAGGAGCUUCUUCGGUUUUUUAACUUGUAAUAAAUAUCAAAAAAUGAGUAGCUUUUUACUGGGAUUAUUAUAGGCGUAAGGUAUUCUGUUUAAAAUUGUGUAGAAACUUUUUUCCAGGAAAGUAUUUCCAGUAUUUUUAAAUACUUGUUCUAAGAAUUCCUCCAUAAGAUUCCUAUAAACUUUAAUGGGACUUUUAAAAACUGUAACUUCAAUCAAAAGUAUGCAUAAUGUCUGUAAACUGGAUGAUAUCCCAAAGUGGAGGGUCGUGACCCUCCGGAUUAUGUAAUUCUUAUGGAUGAAGGUCGUGAACCACCAAUUUUGAGAACCUAUGUUCUAGACCAAAUGUCUGUAUGAAUGCAGACAUGUCUGUAGGUCUGGCAUUCUUGCAUAAAUAAACCAAUUCAACACUGUGAGAAACAACAAAUCAUUUUUGUUAGAGCAAUGACCCAAGCAAGUAUCGCAAAAAAUGUGUGUUCAGGUGAUGUAAAAAUGUGAUUUUAAAGGACAAAAUAAAAUACUUUCAGUGCGGAACCCAGUCUACACUUGUUAAGCCAGUAUUCUAAACUUGACUAUCAUAUUUGAAUAAUACUGUAGUAAUGUACUAAAAACAAUCAAAAAGGAGUAUAAAUUAGAGAAUCACGAUUUUUACAGUUCUACAAGGAAAUUAUUUCGGCUGAUUUAAAAAUAAACCUAAUUUCACCACCCCAUAAAUUAUAUUUAAAAAAAUUGGUGAAAUUUGCUAAAUAAAUAAUAUCUAAUCACUCCUCAUAUUCCAAUGAAUGACAAUCACAAAAGGUAAUUCACUUCAGGUCUCGUCCGAUUAAUCGAUGAUUCGAUUUGUGAGUCACGUAUAUGUUGAACACGUGGUCAGGCAGUUUUUUUUCCAUAACGAAAAAAUUGAACGGCGUUCAAACUUACACCAAAAAGAAAACAUAGAGAUUUCCAAACAAGUCGUCAUUACCAAAAUGUUCUCUUCUUCUACGUAUAGGGUAAACAACAUUUUUGCCUGAAUGUUGCAGCCAACACUAUCACAACACGACAAUUUCACUACUCUGUUUCAACAAUGCACUGUUGUGUUAAAAAAAAAACAAACGAACAUCUUUGCAAAUCACUCAUCAACAACUCAACAAAUAAUUACGCGAUAUUGAGCACUGAAAAACUUAUGAAAUCAUGAAAGUACUAGAAUUACACUAACUGAAAAAAAAUCACUGCACUUUAAAUGUGAUAUGAAAGGCCUCCUAAUUUUCAUUAUUUUGCCUAAUUUAGUUACUCAAUACCUGCGUCUUGAAUUAAUAUCAAUUAUAUCGUCAUUUGAGCUCUUUGAUUUUUUUACAUUUAACUAAUCAACAACAAUAAAAUACUCACACUUAACUCAUUUCACAGUAUUCGGUAAAUUUUACCGAAAUCUCAACAGCAGAUCUGUUCGGUAAUUAUUUUACAGAUUUUUUGUAACUUUUUCCAUUGUUCAACUGUCAAAAUCACCGAAAAUCAGUAAAAUUAUUUACCGAACAGUUCUGCUGUUGAGAUCUCGGUAAAAUUUUACCGAAUUCGGCGAUUUAUUUUAAGUGUGAUACUUUACUUUUUUCUAAUUUCAUUAUGAACUGAUCGGAGUCAAGAAGGGAAAGUGUCUGUCGUUCGCGCCUAUUGUUUUUAUCUCCAACAGUUUGUAAACCAGUUGACCAGCCCUUCUUCAAACAAACCAUCAUGUAUUGCAAGUAUAGCAAAUUCCAUAAUUUAAUUUGUUGGCUCAUUCUGUUGGAAGAAGAUUCCAAUUUUCCAGUGAGAUUCGUGUAAGUAUCUCUGUUGACAAGUCAACUACUCUCAUUUUCUGCCCUUCAUACAGCAGUAUGUUGAAUUCAAAAUGUCAAAAUGAUAUUGGAAUUUGAUCUUACUGUAAAGUGGAACCACAUUCAGAAUAAGACUUCUGCUAGCAUGGCGGCUAACUACAUACGUACUUUUUCAUACUUCAUUACAACAAAAACAACAGUUUUAAUAGUUUUACCAGGUUUAACAUAAAGAAAUUAUAGGGUAAAACGUCCUAUCGUUGUGGUAUGUCCUAAUGUUGCGGUAGUGUUAAAAUAGUCCAUUCUGGAUAUAAUAGCAUUAAAAACAAUUGUGGAUACGCUAAAACUCAUCGAAUUAACGACUAGAACAGCUUUUGUUUGACAAAAUUCCGUUCAAAAUUAUGAAAAGUCAACAUUUUUCAUUAAAAAAUUGAAUCCUUCGAGCCUAUUAUUGCGGUAGUGCUAAGGUCCUAUUGUUGUGGUAUCGAUUUCCAUAAGAAUUACAUGCAAUACCGCAACAAUAGGACUGACCUUGAAAAAAUGUCGCAACGAUAGGCAACUGCGUCCUAUUAUUGCGGUAGUUUGUUUUUGUUGUGAUAAAACAAAACAACAUAAGUUUAGCCCAAUUGACGUAAUAUUUACGAAACUAUAGUUAACGAGCAACCUAUUUGACUACUGCGAUGUAGAAAAAGACCAACGGGUAAUUUUUAAAGAUUUUUUUUUUCAAUUUUGUUUUGACACGGUGCUUAACUCCUCCAUAAUAGGUCGUUUUACCCUAAACAAAGACAAAAAAACUUUUCCAAAAACAAACUAUUUGAACUUGAAGUUCACUGCUAGUCAAACAAGAGAUCUGUCAGUCCAAAAAAUCACGCGUGACAUUAUGAAUAUAUGAAUUAUUCUUGAAACUUUUUUCAAAUGGGCGUAAUUGUGUCUGGUCUUGAUUUGUGGAAUGCCGAUUGUGGUCUUUAUUCUAACUAUUUUGCUCAACUGAUGUAAACAACAGAAAAAAUAGAUUGCGAUCUAUUUGAUAGUAGCCAAAGUUGAACAUUAUAUGCUUAAUAGAGAGUGUAUGAGUCGUUUCUAAGUCGGGUCAAAUGCAGUUAUGCCUAUUUGAAUAAUGUUUCUAGUAUUGUUUGAAUAUGUUCUUACCUAUUAUCAGAUUCUAUUCAAAUACGAUAUUCACUCAAAAAAAAGUGUAUCAUCAAUUUAUCAUUUAUUAACAGCGGUGUAAAAAGAGCCCCGCACAUAGGAUACGUUUGCGUUGCGUUUGACAGUUUUCCCAAGGGAAAUGUGCCAAACGCAACGCAAACGUAUGCUAUGUGCGGGGCUCUUAACUUAUCAGAGCUGCCUGUCGAAGUGUUUGUUUUUGUUUCUUAUCUUUGUUUAUAGAUAGUAUCUUUGGUUGAACCGUCCGCACAAAGUACAGCAAUUAAAAAUUAAAAUAAUUUUGAUAUCACAUAUUUUAAAUAAAAAAAAGCAAAGAAACUGUUUGUCCUUAAUGUUGCACCGCACCAGAUACAAAUAAUAAACUUGAUGCACCAUAAUAGAAUAGUCCAUAAGUAUCGAACCUUAUGAAAUAAUUUUUCGGCACUCCCAAGAGAAAGAUAUAUUAUAUAAACUAUCGAAAGAAUUGUAAAAAAAUAUGUUUUCAUUAUUUUAUCAUUUGGUCGGGGUUCUGCCAAACGGCACCAAGUAGCUUUUUGACUGACUUGUAAUAUUUUGUUCGUAAAAUGUAAACGUAAAUCUUUUCAUAUAAAUUCUCAUAUACAUUAAUUGUAGGAUAUAUCUUCUGCUCUGGGGUUAAAAGAUAUCCGAUACGAUUUGUGAUCGUAUAAAUUUGUUAAACAAAAGAUUGCCGUAGAAAAAUUGGAUUUUUUUUGUUGGCGCUUGGUGCGAAUUGUCAGAACCCCGGCCAUUUAUAUUUUGAAAUUCUUAUCCUGGAGAAAUAACGCCAGACGUGGUUAAUACCCGCCUAAGAACCUAAUUCAAGGAAAGACCACGCACUGAUUCGUGUAGUAAGUACUUGUAAAUAUAGUUAAUUAGCGAUAAAUAAUAAAUCAGAAUAACAACGCCAAUCCAAACGGCGAGUAUGAAAUAAGUGCGCGAUAUUAGCAAUGCCAAACAAUUCAACUAGCUGUUACUAAAUGUGCAGGAUUAUCGUCUUCGACACAAAUCGUAUAAUCAUAAGUUCCUACACUCUAAAAAAAAUGUUACGUGUGAGAAUUGAUUGUGCAAGACGCAUUUGUGGCAACAGUGCAUGCACUGAAGCAAAAUGAAUGCAUUGAAAACAAUAUCGAUCAAUGUCAAACAAACUUCGUAACACAUUUACAAUUUUCAAAUUAAAAGGAGCACAAAUUUAAAAAAAAACAACAGAGCUCUUUCAUGACAAUCUGCAUGUACAAACAAUUUAGUUCUUCUAUCGAAUAACAUUUGUCCAGCCUAAUAAUUCGAAAAAAAAUUGCCGGGUCAACGCAUUUACGCUUGAAAAUAAACCCCUUGGGAUAAAACUCCACAGAAAAAAAAUGUAAGCAUUUUUGCCUUCUAUGUGUAAUCAUUCGUAUUCGACACAAUUAUGUAAUAAAGAAAUGCAAAACCAAACCGAAUACCAAAACUCCAUUGCUGGAUUUUUUUUCCCGUUCGUGGAAUAAAAAAGUGACAAAGUUGAGCUAUCAUAUUAAACAGCGUGUGCGAGGACACACAAAAACCAAUGAUUGGAUACCACUAAACAAUUAAAAUAAAAGUUUAUUAUUGCAUUAUUAUACCAAAACGCAAAGAUAAAGAUUGAUCUUAUACAUCAUUAUUCAUAUAUCACAUUAUUUAUAACAUUUAUUAUUAUAAUACAUAUAAGAUGAAUGUAAAAUAAAUGCCUCAAUCAGUAUGAACAAAAAUUCGAAAAUUCAA